rnacentral:rRNA from 1 species
GUGGGGAAUAUUGGACAAUGGGCGCAAGCCUGAUCCAGCCAUGCCGCGUGAGUGAUGAAGGCCCUAGGGUUGUAAAGCUCUUUCACCGGUGAAGAUAAUGACGGUAACCGGAGAAGAAGCCCCGGCUAACUUCGUGCCAGCAGCCGCGGUAAUACGAAGGGGGCUAGCGUUGUUCGGAAUUACUGGGCGUAAAGCGCACGUAGGCGGACAUUUAAGUCAGGGGUGAAAUCCCGGGGCUCAACCCCGGAACUGCCUUUGAUACUGGGUGUCUGGAGUAUGGAAGAGGUAAGUGGAAUUCCGAGUGUAGAGGUGAAAUUCGUGGAUAUUCGGAGGAACACCAGUGGCGAAGGCGGCUUACUGGUCCAUUACUGACGCUGAGGUGCGAAAGCGUGGGGAGCAAACAGGAUUAGAAACCCCGGUAGUCC